UGGGGAAUAUUGCACAAUGGGCGCAAGCCUGAUGCAGCCAUGCCGCGUGUAUGAAGAAGGCCUUCGGGUUGUAAAGUACUUUCAGCGGGGAGGAAGGGAGUAAAGUUAAUACCUUUGCUCAUUGACGUUACCGACAGAAGAAGCACCGGCUAACUCCGUGCCAGCAGCCGCGGUAAUACGGAGGGUGCAAGCGUUAAUCGGAAUUACUGGGCGUAAAGCGCACGCAGGCGGUUGAUUGAGUCAGAUGUGAAAUCCCCGGGCUUAACCCGGGAAUUGCAUCUGAUACUGGUCAGCUAGAGUCUUGUAGAGGGGGGUAGAAUUCCAUGUGUAGCGGUGAAAUGCGUAGAGAUGUGGAGGAGUACCGGUGGCGAAGGCGGCCCCCUGGACAAAGACUGACGCUCAGGUGCGAAAGCGUGGGGAGCAAACAGG
rnacentral:rRNA from 1 species